UACGGGGGGAGCAAGCGUUGUUCGGAUUUAUUGGGCGUAAAGAGCGCGCAGGCGGUCGGAUAAGUCGAAUGUGAAAGCCCCCGGCUCAACUGGGGAGGGUCAUUCGAUACUGUUCGACUCGAAGGCAGGAGAGGGAAGUGGAAUUCCCGGGUGUAGUGGUGAAAUGCGUAGAUAUCGGGAGGAACACCAGUGGCGAAGGCGACUUCCUGGCCUGGUUCUUGACGCUGAGGCGCGAAAACUAGGGGGAGCAAACGGGGGAUUAAGAAACCC
rnacentral:rRNA from 1 species